UCCUUGUUAGUAUAGUGGUGAUAUCCUCACCUCUCACGCGGGAGAUCGGGGUUUGAUUCCCUGACAGGGAG
rnacentral:tRNA from 1 species